rnacentral:rRNA from 1 species
AACGAACGCUGGCGGCAUGCCUAACACAUGCAAGUCGAACGAGACCUUCGUGUCUAGUUGCGCACGGGUGCGUAACGCGUGGGAACCUGCCCUUAGGUUCGGAAUAACUCUCCGACAGGGGUGCUAAUACCGGAUAAUGUCUUCGGACCAAAGAUUUAUCGCCUUUGGAUGGGCCCGCGUUGGAUUAGCUAGUUGGUAGGGUAAAAGCCUACCAAGGCGACGAUCCAUAGCUGGUCUGAGAGGAUGAUCAGCCACACUGGGACUGAGACACGGCCCGGACUACUACGGGAGGCAGCAGUGGGGAAUAUUGGACAAUGGGCGAAAGCAUGAUCCAGCAAUGCCGCGUGAGUGAUGAAGGCCUUAGGGUUGUAAAGCUCUUUUACCCGGGAUGAUAAUGACAGUACCGGGAGAAUAAGCUCCGGCUAACUCCGUG